rnacentral:rRNA from 1 species
AAUACAUGAGUAAAGUGGCGCACGGGUGAGUAACGCGUAGGUGAUCUACCUUUGUGACCGGAAUAACCAGCCGAAAGGUUGGCUAAUACUGGAUAGAGCGCAGGGCCUGUAAAGGGUUUUGCGGGAAAGGGUGGCCGUAGCAAUACGGCUAUCGCACUGGGAUGAGCCUGCGUCUCAUUAGCUAGUUGGUAGGGUAAUGGCCUACCAAGGCAAUGAUGGGUAGCUGGUCUGAGAGGACGAUCAGCCACACUGGAACUGAAACACGGUCCAGACUCCUACGGGAGGCAGCAGUGGGGAAUCUUGCGCAAUGGACGAAAGUCUGACGCAGCGACGCCGCGUGGGUGAAGAAGGCCUUCGGGUUGUAAAGCCCUGUCGAAUGGGAAAAAUGUUUGUUGGGCUAAUAUCCCAGCAGAGUGAUUGUACCAUUAGAGGAAGCACCGGCUAACUCCGUGCCAGCAGCCGCGGUAAUACGGAGGGUGCAAGCGUUGUUCGGAAUUAUUGGGCGUAAAGGGCAGGUAGGUGGUCUUGUCAGUCUACUGUGAAAUCCCAGGGCUUAACCCUGGAAGUGCGGUGGAUACUGCAAGACUAGAGUGCUGGAGGGGUGCGUG